GAAAUAAAAUCAAAAGUAGAAACGACGUCCUUUUCACUGGAGUUGUGGAUGGAUUGAGGAGAUGAAACAUCUUCUUCUCCGUCUUCUUUUCCUUUUUCUCCUUUCCUUUUUUCUUCCUUUUCUUCCU
rnacentral:ribozyme from 12 species